rnacentral:rRNA from 1 species
CCCUUCGGGGUGAGUAGAGCGGCGGACGGGUGAGUAACGCGUAGGAAUCUACCUGGUAGUGGGGGAUAACUUGGGGAAACUCAAGCUAAUACCGCAUACGCCCCAUGGGGGAAAGCGGGGGACCUUCGGGCCUCGCGCUAUCGGAUGAGCCUGCGUAGGAUUAGCUUGUUGGUGAGGUAAAGGCUCACCAAGGCGACGAUCCUUAGCUGGUCUGAGAGGAUGAUCAGCCACACCGGGACUGAGACACGGCCCGGACUCCUACGGGAGGCAGCAGUGGGGAAUAUUGCGCAAUGGGCGAAAGCCUGACGCAGCCAUGCCGCGUGUGUGAAGAAGGCCUUCGGGUUGUAAAGCACUUUCACUUGGGAAGAAAGGUUGCUGGUUAAUAGCCAGUAGCUGUGACAUUACCUUGAGAAGAAGCACCGGCUAACUCCGUGCCAGCAGCCGCGGUAAUACGGAGGGUGCAAGCGUUAAUCGGAAUUACUGGGCGUAAAGCGCGCGUAGGCGGUUUGUUAAGUCGGAUGUGAAAGCCCCGGGCUCAACCUGGGAACUGCAUCCGAUACUGGCCGACUAGAGUACGAGAGAGGGAGGUAGAAUUCUACGUGUAGCGGUGAAAUGCGUAGAUAUGUGGAGGAAUACCGGUGGCGAAGGCGACCUCCUGGCUCGAUACUGACGCUGAGGUGCGAAAGCGUGGGGAGCAACAGGAUUAGAUACCCCGGGUAGUCCACGCCGUAAAACGAUGUCUACUAGCCGUUGGGAG